rnacentral:rRNA from 1 species
GAUGAACGCUAGCGGGAGGCUUAAUACAUGCAAGUCGAGCGAGAAGCUUUCUUCGGAGAGUGGACAGCGGCGCACGGGUGAGUAACGCGUACACAAUCUGCCCUAUACAGAGGAAUAGCCCCGGGAAACUGGGAUUAAUGCCUCAUGGUAUCUGUUCAUCGCAUGGUGAUAAGAUUAAAGAUCCGUCGGUAUAGGAUGAGUGUGCGUACUAUUAGUUAGUUGGUGAGGUAACGGCUCACCAAGACGAUGAUAGUUAGGGGGCGUGAGAGCGUGAUCCCCCACACGGGUACUGAGACACGGACCCGACUCCUACGGGAGGCAGCAGUAAGGAAUAUUGGGCAAUGGAGGCAACUCUGACCCAGCCAUCCCGCGUGUAGGAUGACUGCGCUAAGCGUUGUAAACUACUUUUAGAUAGGAUGAAACCCCGAGAUUUAUCUCGGGCUGACGUUAUUAUCAGAAUAAGCACCGGCUAACUCCG